ensembl:lncRNA
GCUCUGGGUCUCUGUUUUGAUGGUAAACACUAGCCUCAGGGGCUCAACCACCAGAUCAAUGGAAGCCUGAGGGACCAUGCUGUUGCCCUUUUCUGACCCUCAUGACUUUAGUCAACUGAAGCUUGGACUCUGAGGACCACCCAAGCCCCUUCAUGAAUCUGCAUGUAUCCUUAGCUUAAAUUUCCCCAGUUUUGCUCUUGAGGAGACACUGCUUUGGGAAAGAUCCCACAGUGUUCUCCUUACUUCUGCAGUUAAUACCUCCUUCUCCUCUCCUGCUCUUUGGCUUGGGUUGUAUCCUUUGGCUCUACAGCCACGACGAGGCAAACCCAAGUUGGGCUAACGUUCACUGCUUCUGCUUCACGGAUGAAGAAAGAAAGGAUGAACCGAUUUGCUCAAGAAAGUGGUAGGUAGGGCUACGCCCAGGUUUCUGUCUCCAAGUUCAGUUUUCUUUUUCCACAGCUGUCUCCUAUCUGGGAGGAUGCCAACACACUCAAAAUGAAGUUUAUUAAAGGCCAGGAGGAAAACAGAAGUGAGAAGAGAGCCAGUCACACUUCCAGAGGUCCUGAUGCAGUUGUAGAGGCCUCCCUCACAGGACCAGGCUGGCCCAGGCCUGCCGCUGCACCCAGAAACCCUUUCUUCGGAACUAAGAUGCCCUUUCCACUCACUCUUCCUUUCUCUGCGUUCCCCCAUCCAGGGGACUGCCUUCCAAGGCUUUUGAAGAAACAGUGGAUAAGGACUACAUAUCACAGCCUCAGCUAAGGGGCCUGUGCCCCAGGCAGGAGCUAUUUCCCCAAACAGACUGUUCCCUGCAACGUGACAGAUGUCAGAUAAAAGACUGCUUUCAUCUCGAGAUCCGCCCAAACCCGGGCCUAACCUGCACUCAGGGCCUGGAGGGUGUUCCCCUCCACACACACACUCCACAGGCACCAGCAAGUUCUGGGCUAUCUGUAGCCCCAGCCCCACCUCUCCCUCUACUCUAGAAGGGAGGAGACAAAAAUAAGGAGGAACAGAGACCACUGGAUAUAAAAGAACUGGGAAGAGGAUCCCUGUUUGACCACUCCCAAGAACAGCCUCCAGCCUCAACUCUGAAAGUCUCCAGGCUUUGCAAGUGGGGAAAUGAUGACAUGACAUCUCACUGCAAUGAAGUCUCGGCCUUGGGAAUACUAUUGAGUGUUCCAGUUCCCACAGGGAGUUGCUUUCUUUCAACCUCAAUUUGAAGAGGAUGAGUGAAACUGCAAAAGACACUCCCAUGCCACUGUUUGCCCAGGUGUAGGAUCCCAGGGCUCAGGAGGAGGCUUGGUGUUUGAAGAGCAUGGCAAAGGGCAGUCAAUGCCCUCCCCACAGGAAAGCACAUGGGCACACCCACAUCCAGUACCCUCUGCCUCCACGGAGCUCCAGGGGCAGGUGAAUUAUUCACAAACUGAACCAAUGUCUUUAUUAUACUCAGCCUAUUCCUUCCAUGCAUACAAGAUUUAGGAAAGCUUUUUAUUAAAAACACCAAAUGUAUUUUAAACGGUCAAAUAGAAAGAUCCAAAAUCUUAUGAAGGACACUGGAAAUGAACUGGGACAGACGUCCUGACAGCACCUGAGCUUCCUGUCGGCUGGAAUGAGUGGAGACACACUGUGCUCCAGAAACUCCAUCGAGAAGCCAAGAGUUUUCCCAACAGCAGAUUCUGAAAAGGGUUUCCUGAGUCUGCUACCUAGUAGACAACGUUGUCAACAGAGAUUUUCUGGAAGAUGAGCAGCUUUCCACAUGGGCCCAACUCUGAGGGUGACUCCAGUACUGACCAAGGACAAAGUAUUGAAAGCAGAGAGAGGUGGUCUCUCUGUGGAUACAAGGUGGCUCACCUCAGGCAGCGUGAUUUAUGGGGAAAACCUGGCCAUACCUAGGAAUGGGUGGUAUCACUUAUCUCAGUGUUGUUUUGCUUAUCUACCUAUGAAUGCCAGUGGUUGUAUCACAUGGUGUGUGGCCAGGUCGGAGUGCCUAUAGUCCUGAUCAACUGCUGAGCUCCCAAAGGAAAUAGGCACCAAGGCUCCUCUAGGCAAGUAAAGAAUCCACCUGCCAAUGCAGGAGACACAGGAGAUGUGGGUUUAAUCCCUGGGUAGGAAAGAUCUCUUGGAGAAGGAAAUGGCAACACAUUCCAGUAUUCUUACCUGGAGAAUGCCAUGGACAGAGGAGCCUGGCGGGCUACAGUCCAUGGGUUUACAAAGAGUCGGACACAACUGAAGCGACUGAGCACAACACAGCUCUAGGGAAAACCCUUCUAUUGAUUGCUUCAAGAUUUUGGCCUCUGUGAGGCAGCUUGGUGGGCUAGUCUGGACAGUUUGGGGCAGGGAACUCCUGUGGCUGGUCUCAGGGGGUACCCAGAGGCCUUUUUGGAGUGGCCCUGGGCUCACAUCCUUGUAUUAGACCUUUAGAUCUUUCCACACUCAAGGUGAGAAGGCAUGACCUCACGGUAAAGAACACUGCUGACAGGAGGAAAGGGUGUCUGUAGAGCCCAGGGCAGAGCUGGUCCAGGCACCUCCCGGGUGAUGAAAGAUGCUGGCUGUUCUCCGGUGCCGGCUGUUGUCCAGUGCUGGCUGC